CCUACGGGUGGCAGCAGUAGGGAAUAUUGCGCAAUGGGCGAAAGCCUGAAGCAGCAACGCCGCGUGAAGGAGACGGCCUUUGGGGUGUUAAGAUCUGUUAGUUAGGGCGAAAAUUGACGGUACCCACAGAGUAAGCACCGGCUAACUCCGUGCCAGCAGCCGCGGUAAUACGGAGGGUGCAAGCGUUAUCCGGAUUCAUUGGGCGUAAAGAGGGCGUAGGCGGGAUGUAAAGUCUGUUGUGAAAGGCAGAGGCUAAACUACUGUACUGCACUGGAUACUGUCGUGCUAGAGUGCGGGAGAGGUAGGGGGAAUUCGUGGUGUAGGGGUGAAAUGCUUAGAUAUCAAGAGGAACA
rnacentral:rRNA from 1 species